GAGAGUGAUAAUUUGCUGGAACCACUGAGUACUUGGUCGCCAUUUUUACGGAGGAUUUUAGCGAGCUCACGGAUUUCGGGUUUGCUUGGCAGGAUUGAUGAUUGCAUUGACAUUCUUUGAUUAGAAGUUUAAAACAUUAUAUAAUUAAUAAUUCAAUUUUUCGUUUGAUAUUUUUGGAUAUUACGUUGAUAUGAUUAUCGAUAACUUGUCUGUUAUUAUUUACAAUUACAGUUGAAGAUGGAGUAAUAACUAUUUAACAAUUACUGACAAACUGACAUUUCACUCCAUGACAAUAAACCUGUUGGAAAAUAAAUCUUUCUUAUUAACUUUUUCAAUAAACAGAUGGAUGAAAUUUAUUCAUCGUGUUAUUACUAAUGCAACAACACGACACAUAACACAUAUCAUUACUUUGUGUAAUUGUGUGUAAUAAUAUGAAAAAUAGUUUCAGUUAUUUAUAUAUUGUUUUUGUUAUGAAAGUGAUUAUUGUAAAUUGCUUACACUGUACACUGAUCCAGGAUUUUAAAGGAACAGAAGUCUGCUAGUGCUGCUGAUGAUGAAGCGGACAUUUUCACUGCACAUGAGCGCCACUUGGAAACACUAACUAAGCGCGGGAAUAUUUGAAAUCCUUAAGGAAGUUCGAGCGU